CUUGGUAUUCUCCAGCUUCAUCCAUUUACUGGCAAAUGCCAUAAUAUCAUUCUUAGUAAGGCUAAGUAAUAUUCCAUUAUACACACACACACACACACACACAUUGUGUGUGUAUGUGUAUAUAUAUACACACACACAUACACACCACAUUUUCUUUUAUAAAAUGUUUUUAAAUUGUCAAUGGAUCUUUUAUUUUAUUUAUUCAUUUAUAUGUGUUACUGAGGAUUGAACCCAGGGUCACACAUGCCAGGCAAGUACUCUAUCGCUGAGCCACAACUCCAGCCCUAUACCACAUUUUCUUUAUCCAUUCAUCUGUUGAAGGACACUUAGGUUGGUUCCAUACUUUAGCUACUGUGAGUUGGGCAGCUAAAAACAUAGCUGUGGCUGUGUCACUGUAGUAUGCUGAUUUUAAAUCCUUUUGGUAUAAACCAAGGACUGGUUUAUAGAUAGCUAUAUCUAUUGCCAGAAACUUCCUAAAACACCCCUCAUAAUGAAUUUGGAAAUUCAGUUAAGCCUCCAUUGCUCUCACUUGCCACUGAGUCAUCUUCAGUGUUGUUUCUUUUCCCUGGAUGUCACCGCCAUAACAACUCCAUCUCUUUAGCUCCCAUUCUUCUUUUAGAAGUCCCCCAAGAAGUCUCUUUCUCUCUUCCCUGCACCACCAAGUCUAGCAUGGGCACCCUCCCAUGUUUUCCAUGGCACCCUGGGCUUCCCCUAUUAGCACUGAGCUCCCUAAAAUGGAGGAAACAUCUCUGCUCUGUGAGUUUCUUUUUAAAAGUAUUUUUUAAUAUUUAUUUUUUUAGUUGUAAUUGGACACAACACCUUUAUUUCACUUGUUUAUGUUUUUAUGUGAUGCUGAGGAUCGCACAUGCGAGGCGAGCAGUCUACCACUGAGCCACAACCCCAGCCCCUCUGCUCUGUGAGUUUCUAAUGUGGAAGCCUAACACAACAAAUAGAGGGAGAUUCUAAACUCUCCUUGACCCAUUCUCCUGCUCCAAAACCUUCCCUAGGUUUCCAUGCUAGUGUUUAGUUUUUUUUUUUUCUUUUCUUUAUUUCUUUCUUCAUAUUUUUAUUUGGCAUAAAAUAAUUGUGUUUAUGGCGUAUUAUGUGAAAAUUUGAUAUAAUGUAUACUGAUAAAAUCAGCAUAAUUAACACUUCCAUCUUUCUAAAUACUAAUUGUUUAUUUAUGUUGGAAAACUUCAAACUCCUCUCCUGUGGUUCUUUAUAAAAGAUACUAAAUUAUUGUAAACUAUAGUCACCCCACUGUGCUGAAAAUACUAGAACUUAUUCCUCCUGUGUUUUUGGUAGCCACUAUCCAACCUCCCUCCUUUGCCUCUCUUCUCCUUUCUAAUCUCUGGUGACUAUUAUUCUACUCUAUACUCCUAUGAAAUCACCUUUUAGGGUUUUCUUCAUGUUCAGUCUCUUUCCUAGGAAAUGUGCAGUGGAGUUUCUCACAGUGGGGAAACAAGGGGCUCACUGCAGGUUUAGUUGCUGUGGCAGUGACUAGUGACUAACCAGGGAUGUAAGGUGCCUUCCAGGAUUCCUUAAAGGAUGUAAGGAGAGUAACCACUUCCCCUCUGUCUGUCUAGACUGGCCCUGAUGGUCAGAGGGUUCCCCUCCACCCCCUGGAGAGCUCUGUACCAUUGACCCACUGCCAGUCAGCCUGGGAUUGUUUUUAUGUACUCUACAUUGGGUUCCAUUCAAACUGCACCUCUAACAAACUGUCAGGUGACUUUGGACACCUCGUUACGCUUUUAAUUCUUAAUUUGUAAGAUGAAGAAAGCUGUAUUUGGGGUUGUCAAAGGUGUCUUGCUUCCCAAAGUGCCCUAGAAUCUUAAACUUUCUUAACAGAAUCUGAGUCACAAUGGAAUCAAGCAAAGAAAGAAUGCAGAACACUGAACCCACCAUAUAGACCUUCAUUUCUCAACUGAAAGUCAUGCAGAAGAAGCUGCCCUGCCUCGUUCCUGCUCAGCCUCCUCUUUAUCCCCCAUCUACCCCUGCACUAGCUGGGUCUUCAGCUCCCUCCCUUCCUCCUCUCUUGCCUCUUAUCCCUAUGACUUCUCUGUCUCAUCGCCCUGUGACUUCCUCCAUCAGCAGUCACUUAGAUCAAACUAGUUCUCUUCCCAUCUCCUUCCCAAACCAUCUCCCUCCUCUUACCAAUCUUUCCUCAUCCCAUCUCCCUGCAUGGGUCACCUCUACCCUGGCCUGUCCUCCUCCUGUCACCUACCUUCCUCCUCUCCCUCUCCCUUCUAUUCGCCGUCCCUUCUGACUUGCUCCCCUCUUCUCCCAUGCUUCUCCCUUUAUCUCUGCCCCUCCUCUUCACCCUUCCUUCCCCCGAUGUAUGGGCCUUGGACCCAGAUAGAUACCCCUUGCUUCUGCUGGAACAUCUGCCCCAGCCUGCCCUCAUCAGGCCUGAUGAUACCCAUACUCCAUGUGGAGGCCCCAGAUCCCUACCAAGAGGGGACCUGGCUUCUCCCAGAGCUUCUGGGAUUGUGGUAUCCAGCAUCCUAGUGACCUGGUGGACAUGGGGGACACUGAAUGGUGACUAGCAGUAAUACAACCUGGAGGAGCACCUCCCUCAGGUAAGGGUCUCUUUCCCAAGAUUGCGUUCUCAGCCAGUACCUAGACGUUAAUUCUCCGGCUGGCUCAAUCCAGUGCAUUCCUUCCUCCUUCCCCAGGAUUAUUUUUACAUAAGAUACUCCAUUAGGGAGGAAAGUUUAGGAAAAAUGCCAAGUGAAUUCUGAUUAUCUCUAAUAAUCACAAUUGUUAAGUCACAUGUUCUGACAUACAGACACAAUAGGACACAGUGUAUGCACAUACAGGUUACUAUAACCUUGCAGAGAGAUCAGCAUGGACAUAUGAGGCAGCUUUAGCCUGAUGGUGUGAGUGCAAUGCUCCUAAGAUGUUUUGUUUUCCCUUCCUUUUGAUACAAUACCAACAACUUGAUUUGGAUCUCUCAGUUUAGUUCUAUUUCAUAUUUAUCAGUUGAACUCCAUUUGGUGAUAGCAUACACUUAAUCUUGGAACAAGAUUAAGCUCAGGAACAAAGGUCCAAGCUAACCAUUCUUAGUUCAUAUCCUGAUUUUAUCAUUGGCCUGUGCCGGGUCUCACUCUUGUUUUAUUUACUUAUUCACUUUUUAAAAAAAAAUUUUUUUAGUUGUCGGUGGACCUUUAUUUUAUUUAUUUAUAUGCAGUGUAAGAAUUGAAUCAGCUUCACACACACUAGGCAAGUGCUCUACCACUGAGCCACAACCCCAGCCCUAUUUAUUCACUUUUAGCCCUUUUCCCACUUGUCCUCACCUCUGAAGAGACAGGAGGACUGCAAGUUCAAGUUCAGACUCAGCAACUGAUUGAGGCGCUAAGCAAUUUAAUGAGACCCCAUCUCAAAAUAAAAAAUAAUAAAAAGGACUGAGGAUGUGGUAAAGCAGCUCUGGGUUCAAUCCUCAUUAACAAAAAAAAAAAAAAAAGGAAAAAUAAAAAGACCUCUGAACACAUUUUUCUAUGUGCACAUAGAUAUUCUUGUAAAAUAUGUGGCUCUUAUUUUGUGGAUUAUAUUUUUAAAUUUUGUACAUAUCAUGCUCGAGACUUUAUUAGCCUUUUCCCCUAGCAACUUUUUUUGUGUGUGUGUGUGUGUGUGUGUGGUGCUGGGGAUUGAACCCAGGGCCUUGUGCAUUCAAGGCAAGCACUCUACCAAUUGAGCUGUAGCCCCAGUUCCCCUACUCUCUAUUUUUAAGAUCCAUCUCUGCAUGUAUACAUCAUCUGCAUUUCUAACUUUUGCACUGUAUGUACUCCAUAUUGUACUUACCUCUGUUACAUGCAUCCAUUUCCCCAGGGACAGAGGGAACCUAGACUGCCUCAAACUCUCCACCUCCAUGGACUGUCUUUCACAUGUUCACUUUUAAUACCAUGUGAGAGCUCUGUCAAAUUGGUACCCAGUAUGGGAAGUAUUGGGUUAAAUAGGUUGCUCCAAUCUAAACUUCCACACUUACAAAUACGUGUCCUCCCUGGGAUUGAAAUCAUUCAUCAUAUGUAUUCAUAAGGUCAGUUCAGUAAGAUCCCUCUGGGCCAUGGACAUGCCUGAGACCAAGUGUGGGAAGUGAUUUUAUCAAACCCACAAGAGGAAUUUUGGUUUUGUUGAGGCAAAAAUUUUUAUAACUAGUUUAUGUUUUGCAGAUUCUCCUGUCCUUGUGGUGUUCUUUUAUCCGUCUAUGGAGUUUUGAUAUGUGCACGUGCACGUGCGAGCGCACACACACACAAAUUGAGACUGUAGACUCCCCAUUUUACCACUGACACAGCAAGCAUUAGCUAAUGGCCCAGGGUCAUGUUAGGGUUAUUUUAAUGGAGCCACUUGGCAGACUUCUUCUGCAGCCUCUUUACAACUUGUUCUUAUAUUUAUUACUACUCUAGUAUUGCUAUUACACAUCCAUCCACAGUGCCUCCCACUUUUCAGAAGCUGGUGGGAUGUUCAGCAAGUUCCUUUUCCUUAGGCAGGUUGCUCCCCACCACCCCCUUAUCAUCUGUGCUAUGCAUAUUAUCAGUAGUGCUGAGUAGUACCCCAUAAACUAAUAUGACACAAACUGUUUUUCCAUUGCACUCGUAGGUAGAUAUGACGAUUAUCCAUAUGUUGCCUCUUAACUCCUAACUUGCUCCUUUUAAGCUGUCCUUUCAGUGAGCACAACAUUGAACUUUGUCAGUAGAUGGUGGCAGGGGGACAUUGCAGGUGGAAGGAACUCCUCAUCCUGGUUCCAGUGUGCUCCUGUUUUAUCCCCUCCUACUGCUCUGCUGCCAGAUGCAUGUGUAUGGACAUCCAUUAUCAUUCUGCCCCAGCUGGGUGUCCCCAUCAGUACCCCUGAGUACACAGUCCUAGUCCUCCCAGUGAGGACUUCGUACACCUCAGGUCUUGCACUCACCCUGCAGUUGAGCAGGCCUUGACACUUUUCUCUGUGCCAUUCCAUUCACCAGUGUCUCCCCCGCUGCCCCUGCCAUAGUGGGGUUGUUUCCAGUGGCCCUCCAGAUAUGGACACCAUGCCUCCGGGCUUACACCUCUCCACCUGCAAUCAGGUUCCUGCCUCUCUGACUCUUCCCUGCUACUCUUUGCCUGCCCCUCAGGAGAUCUGCAUAUAAUUGAACCAGAGUGGUCCACAAUGACUGCCUCGAGCUGCAUUCUCAAUAGCUUCUCUGAGGUUUCUGUAUCAUCAUGACCCAUCAUCAUUUAACAUUAUUCAACUUUCUCAUUUUUUGCCAGCCUAUUAUAGGUACAAAGUGAUGUCUCAUAAUUGCGCUAAUUUGCGCAUUAAUAAUUAACAUUACAAGUUCUUCUUUGUCCUUAAGUCACAAAAAUAUUUUUCUUACAUUUUCUUUUAUCAACUUUAUAUUUUACCUUCCAAUUGUAGGUCUAUUAAACCACAUAGGGCUUAUCUUUGUAUCUCAGAUUAGGUAGGGAUACUUUUUUUUUUUAAUCCUGAUAGUGAACUAGCUUCUUUAACAUUUAAAAUAAUCUGUCAUUGUUUUAAGGUUGCUCCUUUGUCUUCUAUUGUUUUCCCAGAUAUGUAUGUGUUAAUAUUUGGGCAUUCUCUUAAACAGAGUUGAUUGAACAAUUCAGGGACUUGCAUUGCUUCAUCUAAAUUGGAGAGUAAGUUUUGUUUAAAAUGCCAACUGAAAUUUUGAUUAAAUUACAUUGAAUUUAUAGAUUGGGGGAAAUUACUCUCUUUAUAUUGAACCUUCUCAUCCAAGAAUAGGAAUGUUGCUCAAUUUAUUCAGAUUAGCUGUUUUCCUAGCAUUUCUAAGUUUUCUCCAAAAGGUCUUAUAUACUCUCAAAUAAUCCCCAGAUACUUAGGGAUUUUUUUUGGUGGCGGGGGGGUGGGGGUGUUAUGGGGAUUGAACUAGGAGCCCUUUUUCACUAUGCUACAUCCCCAACCCUUUUUAUUUUAGAUGGAAUCUCACUAAGUUGCUGAGUCUAGCCUGGAAUUUGGGAUCCUUCCACCUCAGCCUCCCAAAUUACUGGGAUUACAGGCAUGUGCCAUGAUACCCAGAAAUAUUUAAUGAGUCUUAUUGCUAUUGUGAAUAAUAUUUUGUUAUUAUUUGUUGGUUUUAGCUUCUGUAGAAAAAUGCAGCUGGUUUUUGUAGGUUGAUCUUAUUAUCCAGCAACCUUGCUGAAUGAUCUUAUUAGUUCUAAUAAUUGAUGCUUUUUUAAAAAAAUAGGUAAAUAAAUUAUCUACAAGUAAAUUUUCUCUCUUCUCUUUUAAUCCUUAUGUCUCUUAUUUCUUCUUUAUGGCAUUAUAAAGAUUUUCAAAACUAUCUGAAAUGAUAGCAGUGAUAGUGGGCCUCCUUGUAUUGAUCUUAAAGAGAAUGUGUUUUCCCACAAUAUUUGCUGUAGGUUUUUUAGAAUGACUUUUAUCAAAUUAAGAAAUUUACCUUUUGUUCACUUUUUUUUUCAUAUAUAUAUUUUGGAUGUUGAUGGGUCUUUAUUUAGUUCAUUUAUUUGUAUGUGGUGCUGAGAAUCGAAUCCAGUGCCUCACUUAGGCAAGUGCUAUACCACAGAGCCACAGCUCAGCUCCUGUUCACUAGGAUUUUUUAUUAUGAGAAGAAUUAAACCUUAUAAAACGUCUUUUCUGCAUUAGGAUAAACAAAUUUUCUACUUCAGUCUAUUAAAGUGGUGAAUUAUGAUGAUAAACUCAUCUGAUAAUAACCAUCCUUGCAUCACUGAGAUAAACAAAUACUUAAUUAUGAGGUAUUUUCAAUACACUGUUAGAAUUCAGUUCUAGACUGAAUUCUUCUAGACUCUAUUUUUUUUACUUCAGAGAUUUUUAAAAUGUAUAAUUAAGAUUGAAGUUAUUCAGUAUCUUCACCCUCCUCAAGAACAUUCCA
rnacentral:lncRNA from 1 species